rnacentral:miRNA from 1 species
UGUAGCUGGAGGACAUUUGGAUGGAAUCCUUCCAUUUGAUCGUUAGUUUGACCAAAAGUCAACGAUCUAACUAAAUCAUCCCAUAUAAAAUAAUUAAAUAAAAAACAUUUGGUUAGAUCGUUGACUUUUGGUUAACCGACAAUCAAGUGGAUGAAUUUCGUCGACAUGUUCUCCAGUUGCA